UACGUAGGUGGCAAGCGUUGUCCGGAUUUACUGGGCGUAAAGGAUGCGUAGGCGGACAUUUAAGUCAGAUGUGAAAUACCCGAGCUUAACUUGGGUGCUGCAUUUGAAACUGGGUGUCUAGAGUGCAGGAGAGGUAAGUGGAAUUCCUAGUGUAGCGGUGAAAUGCGUAGAGAUUAGGAAGAACACCAGUGGCGAAGGCGACUUACUGGACUGUAACUGACGCUGAGGCAUGAAAGCGUGGGGGGCAAACAGG
rnacentral:rRNA from 1 species